GUUUAUCAAGAUCAUAUGCAGACUCCGUUUUACUGUAGAGACAACAUACGAGCCGUUCCAACCUGAGCCAACGCUGGGACGGAGACGGAUUAUGUUUCCUGUUUUUGAUUACAUCAUUUAUUUAAAGUCUGAACAGCCUCUACAAAUCAUGGGACAACCUGUAGAAAAGGUGAGUUCCUUUAAAUAUUUAGGUGCUUAUAUUAACAUCCACCUCAAAUUCAUGAAUAAUACAGAUUGUGUUUUUUUUAAACAACCGUGCAGAGGCUGUACCGACUCAGGAAGCUGAUCGAAAGUUUCUUGAAACAGUGAACAAGAAUCUGAUAAAAAGUAUUAUGUCUCUGUAGCACGGCACAGACACCAGUGUAGAGGCAGAAGAACAGUUCAUGGUUUUCUUACCUGCUCUUACAAGAUUAGUUACAACAAGUGUGUUAGCCUGCCACAUGUAAAUUGUAAAUGUGUGGAAUAAUACCUUUGGAUAUGAGAAAUAAAACUGAAGAUUUUUAAAAAAAAAUUUCAACAUGAAAAGUGUUUCCAGAGCGGAUUUUUGUUGAACUGAGUAGCUGGGCUAGCUACAGACACUGCCUG